rnacentral:rRNA from 1 species
CCCUACGGGGCGCAGCAGUAGGGAAUCUUCCACAAUGGGCGAAAGCCUGAUGGAGCAACGCCGCGUGGUGAAGAAGGUCUUCGGAUCGUAAAACCCUGUUGUUAGAGAAGAAAGUGCGUGAGAGUAACUGUUCACGUUUCGACGGUAUCUAACCAGAAAGCCACGGCUUACUACGUGCCAGCAGCCGCGGUAAUACGUAGGUGGCAAGCGUUAUCCGGUUUUAUUGGGCGUAAAGAGAACGCAGGCGGUCUUUUAAGUCUGAUGUGAAAGCCUUCUGCUUACCCGGAGU